rnacentral:misc_RNA from 1 species
GCCACGCCCGAAGUCGUUACCUCAACCGCAAGGAGGGGGAUGCCUAAGGCAGGGCUAGUGACUGGGGUGAAGUCGCAACAAGGUAGCCGUACCGGAAGGUGUGGCUGGAUCACCUCCUUAAAGGGAGACCUAAUUCAGGUAGGAGACGAAAAAAAGUAGUCCCUACCAAGAAUCAAUCCCAAAAGGUCGGAGCGAGGCAAAAUUGGCUUUCAAACUAGGUUCUGGGUUCACAUAAGACCUGAAUCAGGAACAAGGGCUAUUAGCUCAGGUGGUUAGAGCGCACCCCUGAUAAGGGUGAGGUCCCUGGUUCGAGUCCAGGAUGGCCCACCUGCACAGGUGGCAAAAACAAAGAAAAGAAGCUCCGAAUCAGCACCUUAUCUUACUCAUAUAGUAAGAGAGAAUGCUGGCUCUGAGUUCAGAGUCCAGAGGAACCUUGAAAACUGCAUAGAGCUAGGUGAAAAAGCCAAAAAAGAAGACCGCAAGGUCAAGCUAAUAAGGGCUAACGGUGGAUACCUAGGCACACAGAGGAAGGGC